rnacentral:rRNA from 1 species
UACGUAGGGUGCAAGCGUUGUCCGGAAUUAUUGGGCGUAAAGAGCUCGUAGGCGGUUUGUCGCGUCUGCUGUGAAAGCCCGGGGCUUAACCCCGGGUCGGCAGUGGAUACGGGCAGGCUAGAGGUAGGUAGGGGAGAAUGGAAUUCCCGGUGUAGCGGUGAAAUGCGCAGAUAUCGGGAGGAACACCGGUGGCGAAGGCGGUUCUCUGGGCCUUACCUGACGCUGAGGAGCGAAAGCGUGGGGAGCGAACAGG